GGGGACAUGGUUCAAUUGUUAGACUGCCUGCUUAGCAAGCAUGAGGCUUUGAGUUUAAACCUCAGUACCACCA
rnacentral:tRNA from 1 species